GUGGGGAAUAUUGCACAAUGGGCGAAAGCCUGAUGCAGCGACGCCGCGUGAGGGAUGACGGCCUUCGGGUUGUAAACCUCUUUCAGUAGGGACGAAGCGCAAGUGACGGUACCUACAGAAGAAGCACCGGCUAACUACGUGCCAGCAGCCGCGGUAAUACGUAGGGUGCGAGCGUUGUCCGGAAUUAUUGGGCGUAAAGAGCUCGUAGGCGGUUUGUUGCGUCGGCUGUGAAAACCUACAGCUUAACUGUGGGCCUGCAGUCGAUACGGGCAGACUUGAGUUCGGCAGGGGAGACUGGAAUUCCUGGUGUAGCGGUGAAAUGCGCAGAUAUCAGGAGGAACACCGGUGGCGAAGGCGGGUCUCUGGGCCGAUACUGACGCUGAGGAGCGAAAGCGUGGGGAGCGAACAGG
rnacentral:rRNA from 1 species